GAAGCUUCGACUAAGGUUCGAUUCGAGCGCAGCGAGAAAGCGUUGCCGCAGGCAACGACCCGAAGGGCGAAGCGCGCAGCGCUGAGUCAUCCUUCCCCCACCAUCA
rnacentral:sRNA from 1 species